AGAGCGAACGCUGGCGGCAGGCCUAACACAUGCAAGUCGAGCGCCCCGCAAGGGGAGCGGCAGACGGGAGAGUAACACGUGGGAACGUACCCUUUGGUUCGGAACAACCCAGGGAAACUUGGGCUAAUACCGAAUAAGCCCUUACGGGGAAAGAUUUAUCGCCAAAGGAUCGGCCCGCGUCUGAUUAGCUAGUUGGUGAGGUAACGGCUCACCAAGGCGACGAUCAGUAGCUGGUCUGAGAGGAUGAUCAGCCUCACUGGGACUGAGACACGGCCCAGACUCCUACGGGAGGCAGCAGUGGGGAAUAUUGGACAAUGGGCGCAAGCCUGAUCCAGCCAUGCCGCGUGGGUGAUGAGCCCUAGGGUUGUAAAGCCCUUUCGGCGGGAAGAUAAUGACGGUACCCGCAGAAGAAGCCCGGCUAACUUCGUGCCAGCAGCCGC
rnacentral:rRNA from 1 species